AUGAUGUCAUAGCGAUGACGUCACACUCAAGCCAAUCAGCCUUGAGGAGGAUAGACUCGUCGGACUGUAGCGGUUGUAAACAACUUGUCGCCCCGUGUGUCUGCCCGUGGCGCUAGUUAUCUGUCGAAGUUACCACUGACAAUGCCCAAAACAAGAACAACAAAGGCCCAAAGGUGGCUGUUUGGUAGUGCGCAAAGCUGCUGGUGGUGGUGGACGUCUCUGCCCUGACGCGCGGCGUGCGUCUGCUCAGUGUGGAGGUGCCGCUGACAGCGGUGCCGGCCGGACCGGCUGCCUCUCCGGCGGCCGACAUUGAGCGCGGCACGUGUCCGCCGCCGUUCGGGCCGCUGCAGCUGCUGCAGUCGGCGGCGCAGCUGUCCGUCUCCGUGUCGCUGGCCGUGCCGCUGGACCUGCUGCCGCGGCCGGCGCCGGCGCGCUGCGCCUACGGCCGCCUGCUGGCCGUCGUCUCGCAGCGCGGCCUGCAGCGCAGCGGCGUGCUGCAGCUCAUCCAGCAGCUCAACGAGCCGCCCAGCCCGGCGGCGGCCGAGGGCGCCGCGCCGCGCCAGCCCGGCGACGUCAGCACACCUGGCAUCAGCGGCUUCUGCCUGGCCGACCGUCAGCUGCACCUGCUGUUCGCCGAGGGGCGCGCCGACGCCGAGCUGGAACAGACGGCGGCCGCGCCGCGCGCUCUGCCGCGCCGCGACGCUCGACUCUGCCACCACUCGGGCCUACAGUGUUUAGGGAGCGCCUGUACCCGCGCCAGCCGGCCGCGUUCCGCGUGCUCGAGGACCGCCCGCUACGCGCCCAGCUGCUCGACACCCGCCUCUACACGUUACAGAAACAGGAGCCGGCGCGCGCCGUCCGCGCCAUCAGAGAGUGCUUCCGCACGCAGUGGCUGUCGGAAAAUGAACCUGCUUCCCAACGAGGCCGGCCUGCAACAACUGCUGGCCGGCUGUUGGCCGAAAAAAAACGCCUUCAACCGGAUGUCAGUUGUCAAAUCAACGCGUAUUAAUGCAUUCACUAGGAUGGGCUUACGUAAAGCUGUAGAAUUGCAAAUAUAUAAUGGCACUGUUUUUGA
rnacentral:lncRNA from 1 species